CUACGGGAGGCACCAGUAAGGAAUAUUGCACAAUGGGGGAAACCCUGAUGCAGCAACGCCGCGUGGACGAAGAAGGCCUUCGGGUCGUAAAGUCCUUUUCUGAGGGAAGAGGAAGGACGGUACCUCAGGAAUAAGUCUCGGCUAACUACGUGCCAGCAACCGCGGUAAAACGUAGGAGGCGAGCGUUAUCCGGAUUCACUGGGCGUAAAGGGCAAGUAGGCGGUUGUUUAAGUUAGGUGUGACAUCUCUCGGCUUAACUGGGAGGGAGCGCUUAAAACUAGGCAACUAGAGGGCGGAAGAAGGGGGUAGAACUCCAAAUGUAGCGGUGGAAUGCUCAGAUAUUUGGAAGAAUACCAGUGGCGAAGGCGACCCCCCGGUCCGUGCCUGACGCUGAGGGGCGAAAGCUAGGGUAGCGAACGGGAUUAGAUACCCGGGUAGUC
rnacentral:rRNA from 1 species